AGUGAACGCUGGCGGUAGGCCUAACACAUGCAAGUCGAACGGCAGCACAGUAAGAGCUUGCUCUUACGGGUGGCGAGUGGCGGACGGGUGAGGAAUACAUCGGAAUCUACUUUUUCGUGGGGGAUAACGUAGGGAAACUUACGCUAAUACCGCAUACGACCUACGGGUGAAAGCAGGGGAUCUUCGGACCUUGCGCGAUUGAAUGAGCCGAUGUCGGAUUAGCUAGUUGGCGGGGUAAAGGCCCACCAAGGCGACGAUCCGUAGCUGGUCUGAGAGGAUGAACAGCCACACUGGAACUGAGACACGGUCCAGACUCCUACGGGAGGCAGCAGUUGGGAAUAUUGGACAAUGGGCGGAAGCCUGAUCCAGCCAUACCGCGUGGGUGAAGAAGGCCUUCGGGUUGUGAAGCCCUUUUGUUGGGAAAGAAAAGCAGCAGGUUAAUACCCCGCUGUUCUGACGGUACCCAAAGAAUAAGCACCGGCUAACUUCGUG
rnacentral:rRNA from 1 species